UGGUGGUAAUUUGGUAACACUAAUUUACCGUCAAUCACUCAUCACUGUCAGUCAGUCACCAAGAACUAAGUGGUGGCACGCACGACGUGACGAGGUGUUCACGAAGUGGAAAUUUACGAGGUAUUAAUGAAUUUUUGCAUGUUGAAAAGUGAUGUGCGCCAAGAAGUAGAUGCUUACUCCUUGAAUAUAUAAUAAAGUGGUGUGGGUGAUUUAGGAGAAGGUAUUGUGAUAAUUAGUGGAAGUGUGAUGUUGUCGACUCCAGGCAGACUUAAACUCUUUGCCAGGACGGUGCAAUAUAGCCACUAUCUUGGAAUGAUGAGGUAUGGUACCUUGGCAAAAGGUCAGUCCCAGAAUUCAGGAGGCUUUCGGCCGGACAGAUGAAGUUUAUCUGAGAGGGACAGAUGAAGUUUAUCUGAGAGGGACAGAUGAAGUUUAUCUGAGAGGGACAGAUGAAGUUUAUCUGAGAGGGACAGAUGAAGUUUAUCUGAGAGGGACAGAUGAAGUUUAUCUGAGAGGGACAGAUGAAGUUUAUCUGAGAGGACAGAACAUGAUUACGUGUCUGGGAAUAAUAAAAUGGUCUUUCAUGCAGUGCAUUAUUGAGUAGAGCGUUGCAUCGUUUUGUACAUGUCUGCUACUAAAUUUCCUAGUUUUUGCGUGUGUGUGUGUGUGUGUGUGUGUAUGUGUGCGCUGUCUGCUGUCUGAUGAUAUUUUAGGCUUAAUGUGCGCACGGCUGGAAUACGUAUUAUCUUACUGGUCAAAUGGCGAUUUUCUUCACGAUUGAGAGUGCUCUUUGUCUUGUUGGUUUGUUCGACGAUAGUUCAUCAAAUUGGCUAUGAAAGAGUUUGAUGAUAAUCUUAGAAUAAGGGAUCCGUGGAAAGGAACGAGUGCACUACAAAAAUUAAACAAAUCAGAAGACGCCGAUAGAUUUAGUCGAGACGUUCCUCGUUAUGGUAACAUGAAUGCCAUAAGGGAGUCUUGGUCAUAAUUAUCAGUUGGAAUAGUGAAUAAAGCUUGUUUUAUUUAUUUUUUAUAUGAUCAUAAGUGUAUGUGUAGGUUAAAGUUAGCGUUUAAUAUCCGUAAAAUUAAC